rnacentral:rRNA from 1 species
AAGCCUGACCCAGCAACGCCGCGUGAAGGAUGAAGUAUUUCGGUAUGUAAACUUCGAAAGAAUAGGAAGAAUAAAUGACGGUACUAUUUAUAAGGUCCGGCUAACUACGUGCCAGCAGCCGCGGUAAUACGUAGGGACCAAGCGUUGUUCGGAUUUACUGGGCGUAAAGGGCGCGUAGGCGGCGUGACAAGUCACUUGUGAAAUCUCUGGGCUUAACCCAGAACGGCCAAGUGAAACUGUCGUGCUAGAGUGCGGAAGGGGCAAUCGGAAUUCUUGGUGUAGCGGUGAAAUGCGUAGAUAUCAAGAGGAACACCUGAGGUGAAGACGGGUUGCUGGGCCGACACUGACGCUGAUGCGCGAAAGCCAGGGGAGCAAACGGGAUUAGAUACCCCGGUAGUCCUGGCCCUAAACGAUGAAUACUUGGUGUCUGGAGUCUUUAAUGCUCCGGGUGCCGUCGCUAACGUUUUUAGUAUUCCGCCUGGGGAGUACGCUCGCAAGAGUGAAACUCAAAGGAAUUGACGGAAAUCACUA